AUGGAAAGCCUCACCCUGCCUGCCUGUGUGAACUUGGCUGUUGAUCUACAUAGCAGCAGGACCUGGGGUUCCCUGCAAGUCGUAAGCCAUAUCUCAGGACUGGAAUUCCAGUUUCAUUGCCUGUACACACUUGGAGUGCUUUCAGGUGCCUCCUUUGUGAAACAGCAUGAAACUUCCAGUGAAGUAGUACAUUUGUAUAUGUUAUGGAUUCUGCUGGAAAUAAGCACAUUUUCUGGAAGUCAUUCUCCAGGACAUCGAAGAUGUUUCGGACAAGGAAGGAAUGGAAUUAUUGGGAUAAUUCAUGGACAGCCAGGAUGGAGUUCCACCUGCAGACUUUCCAGUUGCAGAUUUGAACUGAAAUUCCCAUGAGAAGGAUGUUUUGUGUGGUCAUUUCAUGGUGUUUGCGGCCUCUGCCAUGGUUAUAGAACUCAGUGCACUCCUGUGGUCUCCACAUAUGUCUCCAGUUCCACUUUCCAAAUGCUGUGUCCACUGGAGCUACUCUUACAUCCACAGGGGAUCAGUAGGAAGUACUUUAGCCCUCUGCACACCUCACAUUGGCAUUUAGCAAAACAAAUCAAUAUGACAAGACUGCAUUAAUCAGACCAAUAGAUGAUACUUAUUAUUUUAUAUACACAGGCUCUUAUAAGUUACUACAGGGCACCUUCACAUUCUUGCUGAUGUCCUCCCUGUAUGUGGUGCACUGGAAGAGGAGGGGCAGUUUUAUAGGACAUACAGGGACAGCAAGACAAGGAGCUUCAACUGGAUGGAAGCCCUGUCCUCUGAAGAAGUUACUUGUGAAGAGCCAGAAAGAAAAUCAUUAAAUCUGGUAACUGCAUUGAUGUGAGUUUGUAACACAAAUGGACACAGCACAAUUCUCCCCAUUCCUUCUGGAUUGGCACUGUGUUGGGAAAGGUGAUAAAGAAAAUUUCUGCUGUGCUACUUAUAUUUAUGAUAGAUGAAAGCCUCUCUAAAAAUGACACCCUCUUGCUCUCUUUCAUGAUCUUCUGAUAUAUCUUGAUUGCUGACUAAGGUAGCAACAUGGAUAAUCAAGCUUUUAAAGGCCCUAUUUAAUAAAUCUUAUAACAACAUUAAGAGAAGCUAAGGU
ensembl:lncRNA